rnacentral:rRNA from 1 species
AACCGCUUAGAGGUAAACGGGUGGAUCCGCAAAGUCGGCCCGGGGAAUUCAACUUGGCGUUUUGGGCGGCGGACGUUGGGUCAGGGAUCCGUAAAGACCCGCCUGGCGUUCGGCCGUCGUCGUCGAGUGCACUUUCCUCGGGUAGAGCGCCACGACCGGUUUCGGGGCGGUCAUAAGCCGAUCGGGAAGGUGACUCUCUCCUUCGGGAGGGAGUGUUAUAGCCCGAUCGUGUCGACUCGUUCCGAGACCGAGGAUUUGCCGCGUCUGACUGCCCUCGGUUCCCGGGGUGCGUUCGACUGGGGAAGCACUGCUUGCAGUUCUCUCCGACUGCGUGCCUCGAUCGGCCGGGAAGCAUAGGACGCUUCGGGUCAGUGGCGAAUCGGUCGGUCCUCCACCCGACCCGUCUUGAAACACGGACCAAGGAGUCUAACAUGUGCGCAAGUCAUGGGGUUCUGUACGAAACCUAAAGGCACAAUGAAAGUGAAGGCCAACCUCCGGUGGGCCUAGGUAGGAUCCCCGCAAGGGGCGCACUACCGGCCCGUCUCGACCACAUCGUUGGUGGGGCGGAGCAAGAGCGUACACGUUGGGACCCGAAAGAUGGUGAACUAUGCCUGAGUAGGACGAAGCCAGAGGAAACUCUGGUGGAGGUCCGUAGCGAUUCUGACGUGCAAAUCGAUCGUCAAACUUGGGUAUAGGGGCGAAAGACUAAUCGAACCAUCUAGUAGCUGGUUCCCUC